UAUUCCGUAAUUAAAUUUUAUUAUAAAAAAUUUAUAAAAAUUUAUUUAUUAUUAAAUAAUCAUAAAGUAUUUUAAAAGAAAAUUAAUAUAAAUUUCAAGUAAUAUUUAAAUUAUGUACCUUUUGUAUAAUGGUUUAGUAAGUUUAAUUUUAAUAAAUUCAACCCGAAAAAUUUUCGAGUUAUUUUUUUUUUGUUAAGAACUUAUUAUAUUUUAUUACACAAAAAAUAAAAAAAAAAAAAAUAGAGGCUACAUACCUGACGCGAAAUUUCAUAGCUGGUUUAUUACUAAACCUAUCUUAGUAGGCUAAAUUUAAUAUUAUUCUAAAAAAUAAAGGUAAAGCUUUAUUUAAAACUACUAACUCUUUAAAAAAAUAUUUUUAUUAUAAUAUUAAUAGUUUAUAUUAAUAAAUAUUGUUUUAUAGCUUAAAAUUAAGUUUAUUUAUAAAUACAAACAAAUUUUGUAAUAUAUUAAUAAUAAAAUUUUAAAAAUUUAUAUUAAAAUUUAUUCUUCUAAAAUUAGUAUUUUAAAUAACUAUUUAAAUAAAAAUUUUAUAUUAAGGAACUCGGCAAUAAAAAUUUCGACUGUUUAUCAAAAACAUAGCUUUUUGACUAAUUAUAAAAAGUAACUUCUGCCCAAUGAAUCUUUUAAAUGGCCGCAGUAUUUUGACUGUGCAAAGGUAGCAUAAUCAUUUGCCUUUUAAUUAAAGGCUGGAAUGAAUGAAUUAACGAAAAUUUUUCUGUCUCAAUUCAACUAAUAUAAAUUAAUUUUUAAGUGAAAAAGCUUAAAUAUUUUUAAAGGACAAGAAGACCCUAUUGAGCUUUAUUUUUAAUUACACUUUAUUAAAAAUAAAAUUCUAAAUAAUAAGUGUAAAAAAAAAUUGGUUGGGGCGACCAAAGAAUAUUAACAUCUUCUUCAGGUAUCCUGGAAAAUGAUCCAUUAUAAUAAACUAAUUAAAUUAAAUUUAAAAAGAGCUACCAUAGGGAUAACAGACUAAUCUUUCUUUAAAGUUCAAAUUCACAGAAAGGAUUGGCACCUCGAUGUUGGCUUAAGAUACCUUUCUUAUGCAGCAAUAAGUAAAGUAGGUUUGUUCAACCUUUAAAAUCUUACAUGAGCUGAGUUCAGACCGGCGAAAGCCAGGUUAGUUUAUAUCCUUAAAAUUUUUAAAUUUUAAAUACUAGUACGAAAGGACCCUAUUUAAUAAAUACUUUAAUUAAACCAGAAAAAAUAUAAUACUUUUU
rnacentral:rRNA from 1 species